rnacentral:lncRNA from 1 species
CCCGUGUGGUACGUAAUGCUGCUCCCAGACAGACAGCCCUACAUCCUCAAUGGAGAUGACGCUAGUGCUUGAAGGCGAUGUUUUUCCCGCGGACUGCGUGGCUGGUGAGAUGGUAACGCCGAGGCGGGGAGCAGCUUCACAGCUCACUGCCCUCACCCGAGCAACCGCCUGAGAGCGACGUGCCAAAGCCCGGCGGUAGCCCGGUGCCUGCUGCAUCGCUGCAAACGGUGGGAGCAGCGCGCCCACCCGCUGCGGGGGCUCCUCGGGGACCCACCGCCUGCCAGCUUCCCUCUGCCAUCCUCUGCGGCGGCCUGUCCCCACGUACACGUGUCUGGGAAAGUGCCAAGAUCACAAUCAAAAGGGAGUCACCAAUAAGGAUUUGGUGUACAGCUAAGCAAACUACCUGUGGAGAAAGCUCUGAACAAAACAGGGAAUUGUGUACCAUGUAACCAGACUGCUAUAAACCUUCAGCUGCAGACCACUGACAGGAGUCUAUGGACCACCACUUGGGUGAACCUCUGCUUUAAACCGUUAAAUGAUUCAACAUUUGUGUUAUCCUGAAGGGGAGGAUAAAGAAACUGGCCACCAAGAUGGUAAUCACUAGUGGAAAUGAAGAAGAUAAAGGCAG